rnacentral:antisense_RNA from 1 species
UGCAAUGGUGGGCUGGAUGGGGCAACCAAAAGGUUGACCGUCUGAUAAUCACGGUAUUCUCACCCCUGUUCAGUCCACCACCCAA